GAUGUUUGUCCGAGUACAGAAAGAUAAUUAACAAAAUACUCCAAUUUAUUUAUACAUUAAAAUUAUUUUUGUAACAUUUUACUGAGAGUUUUGUAGUUUUAUACAAACAUUCAUCGUUUCUCCUGAGAAAACAAUGGAGUACCUUCCAGUAAAUUAUUUCUUGAUAAAACUCUUCAGUGAUUUAAUCCAAAGUGGAUGUAUUUAUAUUCCAAAAUACAAAACAAACAGUGGAUUUUGUGGAGCAACUAUGGCAUAUAUCUUUUGUUGUUUUGGGACUACGUGCUUCGUCAAUUUUUCAAUUAAAAUCGCUUGGUUGAUGUUAAUUUUUUUUAAAACAUUGUUUACAAAAUUACUCAAAACUUUGAGGAAAUCAUGAAUUUCGAAACUGAUAUGCUGAACACAAACCAAGUAGACUUGUUGUCUACCAUUGAUUGUAGCUUAUUUAUAUAUGACAUGAUGAAGAGGACACAUAUAUUUUGGCACCAAUUUAAACACAAAAAUAAAAUUUUUAUAUUUUUCGUAAAUAUUGAUUUGAAUGAAUAUUGUGUGAAAUAUAUUAAUAUAAUGCCAGCAAAAUCAGUGGUAUCUGUUGAUUUGGCAGUUACUGCGUUAAUAAAGUAUAUAACAUACUUUGAUACCAAUAAAUUGCCAGAACAUAGCUCGAGAGUAUGGCAAGAUAUAUCUGAUGAA